CGGACUCUCCAUCGCAAAUAUUUACAAAACCAACAACACAUAAGUUCCCUGACAACCCAAGGCUCUCUCACUUUCUUUAUAUCUAUCUAACCCGACCUCUUUUAGAGAAACGAGAGUAAUCAGAGAGAGAGAGAGAGAGAUGGCAGCCAUUGCUGGUAAUGUUCCUUCUGGGGCGCUCUUUAGAGCUAGAUUAUCAGUAGAUAAUGGGAUUUCUAUGGUUCAACUCAAUGGCCUUAGGCCAGGGGACAAUAUGCAAACUGCUUCGAGGAGGCCGAGGUCAAGUUGGUUCUCAUUUCUACUCAGGGUGAACUUCUGUCUUCUUGAGUCUGAGAGCUGUUAUAGUUAUAUGUUCUUUUCACCCUCCACUUUGUCUCCUAUUAAAUCAUAAUAAAGCACGGUUUUUUUCUGUUCUUCUUUCUUUGGUAUUCUUUACAGAAAUCACUUGUUGCUAUAUCUACUGUGCUAAUCAAGCUAAAGUUUCCUACUUUUCUUCUUUUAUGGCCGAUAUGUUCUCUACUGAUUUAAUACAGCAUUGACUGUUUAUGAGGCAUUAUUUAGGCUAAUGGUAGCUUGAUUUUGAUUUCCCAUUCCCAGCUCCAAAAUGCAGAGCAAUCAAGGCCAUGGCUUUAGCAGCUUCAGCUACCAAACGAGAAAAAGAUCCCAAAAAACGUGUUAUCAUAACGGGAUUGGGCCUUGUAUCGAUUUUUGGCAGUGAGAUCGAUACAUUCUGUAACAAACUUUUGGAGGGAGAGUGUGGGAUUCACCUAAUUGACAGGUUUGAUGCUUCGAAAUACUCCAUCCGGUCGGAUUCAUGAUUUAUCUUCUGAAGGCUACAUUGAUAGGAAGAAUGAUCGCCGGCUUGAUGAUUCCUGGCGGUACUGUUUAGUUGCUGGGGAGAGGGCUCUUGAAGAUGCCAAUCUUGGAACUGAAAUUUUCAAAAAAUGGACAGGACAAAAAUUGGAGUGCUAAUAGGAACAGGCCUUGGAGGCAUGAAAUCUUUCAGCAAUGGAAUGGAAGCUCUAAUCACAAGGGAUAUAACAAAAUCCCGCCGUUCAUCGUUCCUUAUUCCAUCACCAACAUGGGGUCAGCAUUGUUGGCCAUAGAAACGUGAGGUAGAUAUCAUGGUUGCUGGUGGGACUGAGGCUGCAGUCUGCCCUGUUGGGAUUGGUGGGUUCAUCGCAUGCCGGGCUCUUUCUCAGAGAAAUGAUGAACCCCAGAAAGCUUCCAGACAAAGAGACAAAGAUCGUGACGGUUUUGUUAUGGGAGAAGGAUCUGGAGUGCUGACUAAAAGGAUUAUGCAGAGCUUGGUGAGCGCAAUGAGAAGAGGAGCUAAAAUAUAUGCCUAGUAUUUAAGAGGUGCUAUAACAUGCGAUGCUUAUCAAAUAACUGAUCCUGAUUCAGAUGGCCUUGCAGUUUCAUAUUGCAUAACAAAGAGUUUAGAAGAUGCUGGAGUUUCCCCUGAAGAGGUGAACUAUGUGAAUGCUCAUGCAAUAUCUAAAUGAGUAAUGCUAUAUACUACACUCUUAUUCUAUUAAGUAAGAUGUGGCACAUUCAUCACUAUUGAAUGAU